rnacentral:lncRNA from 1 species
GCCAAUUGUAUACCUACCUAGUUGUAACCAUUUAGUUAUUACACAAGAAAAAAUGUGUGUAAAUCGCAGUUUGGGGGCACAUAGAAACAACACUAUAUACAAAUUAUAAUUUGUAUUCAUUGGUUUAUUCCUUUAUUUAUUCAUUCAACAAAUACACAUGGGGCUUCCACUGCAUCCAACCACCAUGCAAUCAUGUGAGUCCAUGAGGAUAUCUUUAGCCACCAGGCUGUGAGCUGAAAUGACAUGUGUCAUUUCUGGGCCAAAGGUUUUAAUUGCUGGUGCAAGACUCUCCAGAGCUCUCUUACUCUGCUGGGUGACGAAAGGUUCACACAUCUCAGAUGGUUCAGUUAAAAGAUCAGGGGGACUAUUAGCCUGGGUUCUGAGCGUAGCCCUCACUAACCCACAGUGGAUGUGUAGUCUGGGUGAAAAACAAAUUUUUGUUGUGUUAAGCCAUGGGAUUUUGAGAUUGAUUUGUUAUUGCAGCAUAACCUCGUUUAUCUUGGCUAGCUAAUGGAGUAGUUAAUGCCUAACUGGUAAUCAUGAUUAUAAAAGUUUCCAUGUAUUAAGUUCAUAGCAAAAAUCCUGGAAUAUAGCCAUUAUUAUCUGCAUUGCAGAGAUGAGGAAACUGAAGCUCAGAAGGUUAAGUACGUUACUCAAGGUUGCAGGGUUUAUAAGCAGCAGAGAAAGGCACUGAACCAAAGCCCCAUGUCCAUAAAUGUUUCUCCUAUAUGCUAAGUAUCAUAAUCAGAAGCUACACAUACGAAUGAAAAAGAUCUUUUCCAAUAUUAGAAAGAUAAUUGCUAAUUCAUCUAUGUAGUUCAAACUUGUACAGUAUCCAUAAAACAGAAAUAACCCUGUUUACAUGCAUUCUACAAAAUCUUCAAGAUAUUAAUAGAACUUGCUCUAUGGUCAAAUAAUUUUGUGAGGCUUUCUAUACUAUACUAUUUGUGUAAAUAGUAUGCAUCCAUUCAGAUUCACUUAACUUCCCCUGUCUUCCAGCUGCUACUGUUGUCUUUUUAGCUAUAGCUGCUACUACCUCAUCCACCAGCAUUACCAGCUCUCUUGGCAAGUAUUGGACUACAGCAAGGCCUCCAUUACUCCUGCUGCUGUGGAGUUAAGACACAGUUCACUGGUGUGUCAGCAAGACAUAUUGGUGCUUGCUAGAAAUAGAUUGCUACUGCAUGGCAGCCACCGCUUGGGUGAGCCUGAAGCCCUCCCAAUGGGCAAAGAUACAGCAGUCCUUAGGAACCAGCUUCCUCUAAGAAAAGAAAGAGUAUGAUCUUUGAUAUUCUCCACCUGGGACUGUUGUCCAUGGCAGGGAUGUGUCUCUGUAAAGGCCAUUGCUAAGAAGCAUGGAGCCCCUUUGCUCCUCCUGCUUGAAAUUGAUGCCCUUUCCUGCUCUAACCACCAGAGGGGAGACAUCAUCUGUUUCAUGUUCUGAUUUACACACAGGCGCUACCAAAGGCAGGAAGAGCAAUGAAGACUCUGCCCUCUCACCUUCUCUCCUCUGCUCCCUUUGGAGGAUGAAUGGGGUACCGCAAAGGAAACCUGGUUUCCAAAGGGUCAUAAAAGUGCUCCUGGAAGUCACCAUGUUUUCAUUCCUUUAAAAUGAUGAUAAACUACUUAUUAAGCCUUGGGCUAUGGACUUGGCACUGAACUGUGUUCUUUGCUAGUAUUUUCUUGUUUAAUUCUCACAACAACUCCAUGAGGUAAAUAUUAAUCUUAUGCCCAGGACAUGAGGGCAUAUAAAAGGUAAAUAACUGAUAAAUCAGUAAAAUGGGGAUUUCAAUCUAUAUUUGACCCCAAAGUCUGAAUUCUAAGCCAGCAGGUCUCAACUUUUUUGGUUGCAGGACUGCUUUACCUUAUUAAAAAUGACUAAGCGUCCCCAAAAGCUUUUGUUUGUGUGUGUUACGUCUGUGAAUAUUUAUUGUAUUAGAAAUUCAAGCUGU